rnacentral:rRNA from 1 species
AUUGAACGCUGGCGGCAGGCUUAACACAUGCAAGUCGAACGAGUGGCGGACGGGUGAGUAAUGUUUGGGAAUCUAGCUUAUGGAGGGGGCUAACUACGGGAAACUGUAGCUAAUACCGCGUACCAUAGGAUGAGCCCAAGUGGGAUUAGGUAGUUGGGGAGGUAAAGGAUAACCAAGCCGACGAUCUCUAGCUGGGCUGAGAGGAUGACCAGCCACACUGGGCAUGAGACACUGCCCAGACUCCUACGGGAGGGAGCAGUGGGGAAUAUUGCACAAUGGGCGCAAGCCUGAUGCAGACAUGCCGCGUGUAUGAAGAAGGCCCUAGGGUAGUAAAGUACUUAAAGUCGGGAGGCGUUACCGACAGAAGAAGCACCGGCUAACUCCGUGCCAGCAGCCGCGGUAAUAC